UACAGAGGGUGCGAGCGUUGUUCGGAAUUACUGGGCGUAAAGCGCGCGCAGGCGGCUCUUUAAGUCUGACGGUGAAAUGCCGGGGCUCAACCCCGUGCCCGCCGCGGAUACUGGAGGGCUGGAGACACGUAGAGGCAAGCGGAAUUCCGGGUGUAGCGGUGGAAUGCGUAGAGAUCCGGAAGAACACCGGUGGCGAAGGCGGCCUGCUGGGCAGUUGCUGACACUGAGGCGCGACAGCGUGGGGAGCAAACAGG
rnacentral:rRNA from 1 species